rnacentral:misc_RNA from 1 species
GAUGAAGAACGCAGUGAAAUGCGAUAAGUAAUGUGAAUUGCAGAAUUCAGUGAAUCAUCGAAUCUUUGAACGCACAUUGCGCCCCCUGGUAUUCCGGGGGGCAUGCCUGUCCGAGCGUCAUUACAACCCUCAAGCUCAGCUUGGUGUUGGGCCCCGCCGCCCCGGCGGGCCCUAAAGUCAGUGGCGGUGCCGUCCGGCUCCGAGCGUAGUAAUUCUUCUCGCUCUGGAGGUCCGGUCGUGUGCUCGCCAGCAACCCCCAAUUUUUUUCAGGUUGACCUCGGAUCAGGUAGGGAUACCCACUGAACUUAAGCAUAUCAAUAAGCGGAGGA